CAACCACUUCAAGCCCAAACUGGAGUCCUCCACCUUCCUCGGCGUCUGUCCCAUCAGCCUCCACACCAAUAACAAGCUCCAGUGCAGGAAGUUUCACACCUUCACCAGUUUUCCCUGCAACCACCAACCAGCUCACAAUGUACAUCUUUCCUCUGGUUGUGUGUGUGCUCAUGGUGGCAAUGCUGUUGGCUCUUGUAAUGCUGCUCCUCUACAAACAGAAGACAAUGACUUCAAACGGCACGAACGUGGAGUGUGUUACCUAUGAGAACCAUCCGCCAGCCUCUACAUGUCAAGACUCCGUCUACCAGAGCCUGGAUCCAGCCAGCAGGGAUCAUGACCAAAUCUACGCUAUACAACACGAGACUGUCUGAAUUCAGACCAGAGGGGUCUACUACGAACCAAAAUAAGCAUGCUAGGGAGGUAUGUUGAGC